GAUGAACGCUGGCGGCGUGCCUAAUACAUGCAAGUCGAGCGAACAGACGAGGAGCUUGCUCCUCUGACGUUAGCGGCGGACGGGUGAGUAACACGUGGAUAACCUACCUAUAAGACUGGGAUAACUUCGGGAAACCGGAGCUAAUACCGGAUAAUAUAUUGAACCGCAUGGUUCAAUAGUGAAAGACGGUUUUGCUGUCACUUAUAGAUGGAUCCGCGCCGCAUUAGCUAGUUGGUAAGGUAACGGCUUACCAAGGCAACGAUGCGUAGCCGGCCUGAGAGAGUGAUCGGCCACACUGGAACUGAGACACGGUCCAGACUCCUACGGGAGGCAGCAGUAGGGAAUCUUCCGCAAUGGGCGAAAGCCUGACGGAGCAACGCCGCGUGAGUGAUGAAGGUCUUCGGAUCGUAAAACUCUGUUAUUAGGGAAGAACAAAUGUGUAAGUAACUAUGCACGUCUUGACGGUACCUAAUCAGAAAGCCACGGCUAACUACGUG
rnacentral:rRNA from 1 species